rnacentral:tRNA from 1 species
GGUGAAGUGUCCGAGUGGUCGAAGGAGCACGCCUGGAAAGUGUGUAUACGGCAACGUAUCGGGGGUUCGAAUCCCCCUCUCACCG